CCUACGGGCGGCAGCAGUGAGGAAUAUUGGGCAAUGGGCGCGAGCCUGAACCAGCCAAGCCGCGUGAGGGAGUACUGCCCUCUGGGUGGUAACCUCCUUUUGCCGGGGAGCAAAAGCCGGAGGUGUCCGGCUGUGAGAGUACCCGUAGCAACAGCAUCGGCUAACUCGGUGCACGCAGCCGCGGUAAUACGGAGGGACCGAGCGUUAGCCGGAUUUGUUGGGUUUAAAGGGCGUGUAGGUGGGUUGUGAAGUCAGUUGUGAAAGUUUGGGGCUCAACCGUAAACUUGCAAUUGAUACUGGCAGUCUUGAGUACAGUUGAGGUAGGCGGAAUUCGUGGUGUAGCGGUGAAAUGCUUAGAUAUCACGAAGAACUCCGAUUGCGAAGGCAGCUUACUAAACUGCCACUGACAUUGAUGCUCGAAAGUGUGGGUAUCAAACAGGAUUAGAUACCCGUGUAGUC
rnacentral:rRNA from 1 species